rnacentral:rRNA from 1 species
AGUGAACGCUGGCGGCAGGCCUAACACAUGCAAGUCGAGCGGCAGCGCGGGGGCAACCCUGGCGGCGAGCGGCGGACGGGUGAGGAAUUCGUCGGAAUCUGCCUUUUUGUGGGGGAUAACGUAGGGAAACUUACGCUAAUACCGCAUACGUCAUACGGGAGAAAGGGGGGGACCGCAAGGCCUCACGCAGAAAGAUGAGCCGACGACCGAUUAGCUAGUUGGUGGGGUAAAGGCCUACCAAGGCGACGAUCGGUAGCUGGUCUGAGAGGAUGAUCAGCCACACUGGAACUGAGACACGGCCCAGACUCCUACGGGAGGCAGCAGUGGGGAAUAUUGGGCAAUGGGCGCAAGCCUGACCGAGCCAUGCCGCGUGUGUGAAGAAGGUCUUCGGGUUGUAAAGCACUGUUGUCCGGAAAGAAAAACCGGGUGCUAAUACCUUCGGGGGAUGACGGUACCGGAAGAAUAAGCAACGGCUAACUUCGUG